GACGAACGCUGGCGGCGUGCUUAACACAUGCAAGUCGAACGGUAAGGCCCUUCGGGGUACACGAGUGGCGAACGGGUGAGUAACACGUGGGUGAUCUGCCCUGCACUUCGGGAUAAGCCUGGGAAACUGGGUCUAAUACCGGAUAGGACUCCUGGCUUCAUGGUUGGGGGUGGAAAGCUUUUGCGGUGUGGGAUGGGCCCGCGGCCUAUCAGCUUGUUGGCGGGGUAAUGGCCUACCAAGGCGACGAUGGGUAGCCGGCCUGAGAGGGUGACCGACCACACGGGGACUGCGACACGGCCCAGACUCCUACGGGAGGCAGCAGUGGGGAAUAUUGCACAAUGGGCGCAAGGCUGAUGCAGCGACGCCGCGUGAGGGAUGACGGCCUUCGGGUUGUAAACCUCUUUCAGCACCGACGAAGCGCAAGUGACGGUAGGUGCAGAAGAAUGACCGGCCAACUACGUGCCAGCCGCCGCGGUAA
rnacentral:rRNA from 1 species